GAUGGAACAAACAAUAAUCAAGCACAUACUAAUUUAGCAUGGGUUAAGAAACUGAGUAUAGAUGAUAGAAUCCAAGCAGCUUGGGAAACAAAACUGAAGCGUUUUUUUUUCCCCAAGAGGCAAGAUAAACAGCGGCAGGGACACUGAACUGCUGUACCCUUUGGUAUGACUGUGCAAAAUAGCAUUACCUGUUGUCAGAGUUGCUCACGGGUCUAGAGUUCCUCGCCUGCAGCUUUUUAAUGGUAAAUCUGGGAGUCAUUGCCUUAACCAUUGCCUCAUCAUGACUUUGUGCUCGAUUCCAGGAGCAUCACCUAGUUUUCUGGCGACCUCUUUGAAUCUGAGUUGCUCAGCACUUUUCCAAACAGAGCCAUAAGCUGGAUAAAGUUCAGUGGUUUCACUGCAAACAACUCUGCCUUCUGCUGGGUUGGUGGUGGUGUUAAAAUGUAAAAGAUCAAUCUGCUUUCUUUAAAAAGAUUAUUUUCCUCUCUGGAAAACGUAAACAAGCUCCAAUACCUUCUUCUGUUAGGAAAAACAGUUUUUUCAUUCUCUUUCCUUUGUCAGCAUGCACCUGACUGCUGCUGUGGCUGACACCGAGCCUUUGCUCUGUUUACUUUAACGAAUAAGCCACUGCUGUUUGAUUUAGUUUAUCAUUUUUAAUGCAUAAGCCCUCUCUUGAUCUUGCAUUCUGGGGAAAAGAAACCAGAGUUCCUCUAAACAUCAUGCAGGGGGCCUCUGGAGCUGGACUUGCGGAUGUAAAUCUCCCCAGCUAAUAUGCAAAGUGAGAUUAUAGGGAAAACACCACCGCCAACAACAAACGUGAGCACAAAGUUCCCUUGGCAGCGUUAAUGUGACAGGUGUACCUCAGCCCCACCAGUCACUUCUCAUUCCGCUGUCAGUGCUCCUGUUCAGUGCUUCUCACUGCAUUGCACCAGCAUGGCUUCUUAUUCUAAAGGUCAGCCACCCACAUUAGAGUUCAAAAAGACAUUUAAUGCAAGCAAAAAAAAUAAAUCGAAGGUGGCUCUCAUCAGACUUGACUUGGAACAGCUUGGCAAGGACCAAAAAAACAGCAACAGCUGCUCAAGAUGUAAACACAGUCCUCAUUAGCAUGGAAACCACUUAUAGAAGUCGUUUGAAUUGACUGAUGCUCAGUAAGGGGAAGAUGUUUACAUAAAUCCCACACUCCAUUCAAGCUAACAGCACAGCGACAUCUUAAUCUGAAUGACACCAGGCCUGAUCUUUCAGACUACUCAGGUGAAGACUUCCUGCAGAAUUCCCCAGGUCAGGAACUGGUUACUAUCCCUAAGUGCAUCUGUCUGAUGCAAAUAUUUGCGAUUCUUCACUCAGCAGUUCAGCCCUGGGGCAUCUUCACUGGUUUUGUGGUACUGUGCCCACACAGUGAUCCUGGAGAAGUCUCCAGGCACUAAAUACAAUCCCUGAGAUGUUUCUGGCUGUGUUAAGGUAAAAAGAACAGAUUGCUGGGGCAAUUUUCCAGUGCUUUAAAGCUUAUUUGCAGCUACAGAAAACAGCAUUACAAAUUAUCCUUCCAGAGAAGAGAACAGUCUGAAGAAGCCUGAAAGUUUAGGAACGGCUAACUUGAUCACUCUGACCAUGGGGAAUCGGGCUCUGCCUCAGGAGUGACCAUAUCUGAUCUCCUCUGCAAAGCAGGAAAAAACAAACAACGGAUUUCUUAUCCUUUUGUUUUCAUGUCAUUUUUUUUUUUUUUUUUUUUAGUGUAGACCUAUGGAUAAUGCUUUUGCAAUUUUCAUAAUUUUUCAUGUUUUGUAAGGAUGAAGGAAAAAAUAAACGGUUUCCAGUUGGAAGCUUGGCUUUGAGGAGUGCAUUGUUUUUCCUCUCGUGGAGUAUUGAACGACGUGAAGUUUUUGCUAUCAGCUGAACAGCCACUUCAAUCUAAAAGCAACUUUCUGCGUAAAAAAUGUCAUCAGUUCCAUUCUGAAAUGCAAAUCUUUAUAAUCCUCAUGCAAAAAUAGAUAAAUAAAUAAAUAAAUAAAUCUGAGCAUUUCAAGCUAUACUCCCAGGCCUUCUCCAUGUUCAAUAAGGAUAUGCAGGGGCUCAACCAGAAGUGUUUGUUCAAGUGUUUUGCUGUAGAGGAGCCCCUGAGACCUUGAUGUCAGAAGGCAUUGUUGUGGUGAUUUCAGAGCUGGAGGCAGGAAGCAAAUUGCACGUGUGGGCAUCUUGCAAAGGGUAGAAAAUAACACCGUCUAUUUCUGAAAAUAUAAAAGCGGGCUUUUCCUUGGAUUCUAAAUGCACAAAUUAGUGGCCAUCAGCAGAUUCAAGGAAAAGAGAGAGGAAAAUGAUAGAGAAAGCGGAUCACAAGAAUAAAUAGAGGUCUGUCUUCCUCCAGGCUUUGCUGAAAUGCUUUCAAAUGCUUGUCUUCAGAUCAAGAAGAAUUCCUGAACGAUUUUGCAAAACAAAGUAGAGCUGCAAAUGAAAGCAACACUCUGGCAACCAGAAGAGAUGUUUCCAAACAGAAAUACAGUGAAACAAAAGGUUGGGGGAAGGAAGGGAGGAAUGUGUGGCUCUAUGCAAGAAUGGAGAGAGGUUUUUAGAGGGCUGGCAGUAGCUGUGAGGAUGUUAAAGCACUUCACUGCCUAAGUUUGUGUGGUACACCUAUAUUCUCAGUGUUUCACAGCCCUAUCUCUGGCUGGUGUGGUUUGUAAGAGAAUUUGUGUUUUCAUCCUCCUCAUGCUGGUUUACGUAUCAAUAAAAGAGUUUUCCUCCAACCUGAGGUAUCCAUGAACUUAUUUUACUGACCAAAGUUUU
rnacentral:lncRNA from 1 species